CAGCAGCAGCCGCGGUAAUACGUAGGGUGCAAGCGUUAAUCGGAAUUACUGGGCGUAAAGCGUGCGCAGGCGGUUAUAUAAGACAGAUGUGAAAUCCCCGGGCUCAACCUGGGAACUGCAUUUGUGACUGUAUAGCUAGAGUACGGCAGAGGGGGAUGGAAUUCCGCGUGUAGCAGUGAAAUGCGUAGAUAUGCGGAGGAACACCGAUGGCGAAGGCAAUCCCCUGGGCCUGUACUGACGCUCAUGCACGAAAGCGUGGGGAGCAAACAGGAUUAGAUACCCCGGUAGUCCCUGUCUCUUAUAC
rnacentral:rRNA from 1 species